rnacentral:rRNA from 1 species
UACGUAGGGUGCGAGCGUUAAUCGGAAUUACUGGGCGUAAAGAGUGCGUAGGCGGUUCGUUAUGUCUGCUGUGAAAGCCCCGGGCUUAACCCGGGAAUGGCAGUGGAAACUGGCGGGCUUGAGUGUGGCAGAGGGGGGUGAAAUUCCGCGUGUAGCAGUGAAAUGCGUAGAGAUGCGGAGGAACACCGAUGGCGAAGGCAGCCCCCUGGGCUAACACUGACGCUGAGGCACGAAAGCGUGGGGAGCAAACAGG